rnacentral:rRNA from 1 species
UAAGUAGGUGGAGGAGGUGACACAAACUGAGACUCCAGAAGUAGUUGCGAAUGAAUGUGGAGCUGCUCAGCUUGAAAUCUGUUAGGCACCUGCCACUGACAUGAAACUUCUGAGUGUGUUGUCAAUGGAGGUGCAUGUGUUAGCCACUUUGGAAAGGGGGAGGUAGGUAUAUACAAGGGUGAGAAUCCAUCUUGUCACUUGCUUUGCCUCUGUGUACUGCACAGGUAUUCCAGAAUCAUGCUCUUUGGAAGUGGAGUGUAAAGGGGGUGGUAGAUUUCAUCCAAAGGUGACCACAAUGCUGAGACCGACAGUGAAGAAGUACCAUGAGGGAAGUGUGAACAGGACUUUGGAAAGAGAACUAAAAGAGCCUGCACUUGCUGAAGGGCAAGCACACAGGAUAGCAGAGUUUGGGAAUACUGCUGGAUGUUGGGCAGGGAGUGCGCAAGCAUGUCUGUUAAGCAUCCGGAGCUUCCGUCCAUGCAUGCCAGUAGCAACAGGGGCAGUCUGUGACUGUGGGACUGCUUGAGUGUGUUUUGGCCACAUCAUCUGCGAGCUGCGUGAACUUGUUGACGUUGUAAUGCAUUAUGUAUUCUAACCAAGGUGUCCUUGAGGAGAGCUCCAAGAAUCAAGUAGUGCCGUUCUGGCAAACUUGUUCUGUGUGACCCG